rnacentral:rRNA from 1 species
GACGAACGCUGGCGGCGUGCUUAACACAUGCAAGUCGAACGGUGAAGCAGGAGCUUGCUCCUGUGGAUCAGUGGCGAACGGGUGAGUAACACGUGAGCAAUCUGCCCUGGACUCUGGGAUAAGCGUUGGAAACGACGUCUAAUACCGGAUACGAGGCGUGGGGGCAUCCCCAACGCCUGGAAAGAACUUCGGUUCAGGAUGAGCUCGCGGCCUAUCAGGUAGUUGGUGAGGUAACGGCUCACCAAGCCUACGACGGGUAGCCGGCCUGAGAGGGUGACCGGCCACACUGGGACUGAGACACGGCCCAGACUCCUACGGGAGGCAGCAGUGGGGAAUAUUGCACAAUGGGCGCAAGCCUGAUGCAGCAACGCCGCGUGAGGGACGACGGCCUUCGGGUUGUAAACCUCUUUUAGCAGGGAAGAAGCGAAAGUGACGGUACCUGCAGAAAAAGCACCGGCUAACUACGUGCCAGCCGCCGCGGUAAAAC